rnacentral:tRNA from 2 species
GGAGGAGUACCCAAGUGGCUGAAGGGGACGGUUUGCUAAAUCGUUAGGUCGGCGAAAGUUGGCGCGGGAGUUCGAAUCUCCCCUCCUCCGCCA